AAUAUGAUGGCACCUUCCUAGAAAAAGUGGUAGGAAAAGAAGAAAGAAAGGGAUAUAGGAAAAAGAGAAGAAAAAUGAAGUUGAGAAAAGAGUGAAAGAGUUGGACUCAUUCUAAAGCAUUCAAGAUUCAAUAACAUCACUCGGCUGAGCAUGGAAACCGAUGAAGACCUUCCCACAUACGAUCCCCUCUCGUAUGUUUCAAAGAGGGAGCGCUCUCGUCUCAGAUCAGCACAGAAGGCUGUCCACCUCAUCCCUCUUCUCGUUCUUCUCUGCGCCAUCAUCCUCUGGUUCUUCUCUGCUCCUACUCCUUCACCGCAAAAAGCCUGAGGAAGCUGAAGUGGAAUCCUGAAGAUGACAAGAGCAGUUGAAGUGCUAUUUCAUUUUGUCAAAUGAUUUUGUGGUUCGCUUUUGAUUAGAUUAAAUGAUAGCUUGGAUGGACUAGUUUAGUUUUAAAAUGUAAACAAAGAAAAUUAUAGAUAUGCUUCUUAGUUCUUGAUUGUAUUCUUAUCUAUAAUAUAUGGCUUUUAUUGUGUUGAGAUUGAAAGCUUGUAUUUGAGGUGUAUCUGAGAUAUUUCUCUUAACUGAAACCAAAGCGUUGCAAUUGCAUUAAUGAAUA